ensembl:lncRNA
GUUGUAUUCAUUACUCUAUUGGCACCAAAACAAAUAUUAUUAACAUGUGGGACAUUUGGUUUGUCACCAAACCUUUCAUUUAAAAAAAAAAAAAAAAACUCAAUUAUUUCUUGUUGGGUAUUAGAGUUGGGUUAGGGUUAAUGGGGUUAGGGUUAGGGCUUCUGUGGUUAUAGUUAUGGUUAUUGAUAUUAAUGUUAGGGCUUCUGUGGUUAUAGUUAUGGUUAUUGAUAUUAAUGUUAGGGCUUCUGUGGUUAUAGUUAUGGUUAUUGAUAUUAAUGUUAGGGCUACUGAGGUUAUAGUUAUGGUUAUUGAUAUUAAUGUUAGGGCUACUGAGGUUAUAGAUAUGGUUAUUGAUAUUAAGGUUAGGGCUAUUGUGGUUAUAGUUAUGGUUGUUGAUAUUAAGGUUAGAGCUACUGAGGAUACAGUUAAGGUUACUGAGGUUUAGGUCAGGGUUACUGACAGCAGAAAAGAGACAUUCACAGGACCACAAUUGUUCAGAUAUUAUUUGGGUGGUGGGUCAUUCUCAACACACAGCAGUGGCACUGACAUAGCAGUGUGUAUGGUGCCGAUUCAAAUGGUUUUUGUGGUUGUCAGAUUGUUUAGAACACUUCAGCAGCAGUAAGGUGUUUAAAACAUUCUUGUACCUGACCCACUCGUAACAGCACACCUGGCAACGCAAGACUGUGUAUAUGUGUGUUUGUGUCCACGUUUCUGCUGGAGUGAUUGCACUAAUGGACCCUUUGUUUUUGCAUGUGGACCUCCUACUGUGAACAGAGGGCAGACUGACGGCGAGUUAUUAAUGGAAAUGUGCAUACUGUAGUGUUCAGGUGUGAAUUGUACUCAGAUUGAACGUUGAAUCUUUUACAAGCUUAGUGUAACAAUGCCAACAUGUUUCAUAUGGAAGAGUCAGUGAAAGCAGAGACUGCAAGAAAAGAUUUACAUUGCUGUGAAUUUUUUUUUAUCUAAAUUACCAUGCUAACAUUUACGAAGAUACAUAGAGAAGCUUUAUAGUUACUCUCUGAUGGUGUCUUUUCAGUGGUUCUGAUCCGUGAAGCAACUUCAGAAUAGUCAGCUGUUGCAUCAGUGGAGGAUCACAGAGAAAGAGUGUGGCACAGUGUAGCCAUAACAUUGCAUCUGCUUCUCCUGAGAACUUUGGGAAAUUUUAUGACGCUGUGUGGACAGCUUUUAGUGGGAAUCAUGUUGAAGCUCCAGCCGUAGCCUUAGUUGAGUCAGCGUGUCCAGAGAUCAUGCACAAGGACUUUGUGACUCACUGUGCACAGUUACUUGGUUCAGCGAAGGUCUGAAGUUUUCCUGCAUCUACAGUACUUGCAAUCUUGCAAUAUUGGAGUCUUGGCUGAGAUUGAGGUGAGAUCAGUUAAGAGUAAAAAGAAAACAACUCUAAAGUUGAUGAUCAAAGUGAUGAUCUAGGUGAAUAGAUAUCUAAUGCCAAACUUCCUGAUGUUUGUGAGUGGGUGGGUCAAGGAUCCUGUCUCUCCUCAUUCAGUGGUGCUGGUUGGUUGUUGCCCAAAGGGAAGUCCUGGGGUGGAAUUGGGGCUUCAAAAACCAUUUAUGACCAUCCCAGGCAGGCAGAACGUGAAGUUUAUAGAAAGAAGAAGUGCCAGUACAAACUCUUUGAUGACCUUUCUUGGUAUGGUUUAUGUGUUAGGUAGGAAAUCUUAUACUUUAAGGGUUAUAUCUCUGGCAAAGUUCCUACAGUGGCAUGUAGACUAGCAUCAAAGCAGCGCUCACACUCUGAGAUUUUAAUAAAUAAU